rnacentral:tRNA from 1 species
GCCCCUGUAGCUCAACGGAUGAGCAGCAGUUUACGAAACUGUGGGUAUGCGAGUUCGACUCUCGCCAGGGGUAC